rnacentral:rRNA from 1 species
GACGUAGGGUCCAAGCGUUGUCCGGAUUUACUGGGCGUAAGCGCGCGUAGGCGGUCUGUUAAGUGCACAAGUGAAAGCUCCGGGCUCAACUCGGAAAAUUGCUUUGCAUACUGGCAGGCUGGAGGGACGCAGAGGUCUGUGGAAUUCCUGGUGUAACGGUGAAAUGUGUUGAUAUCAGGAGGAACACCCAUGGCGAAGGCAGCAGACUGGGCGUUUCCUGACGCUGAGGCGCGAAAGCGUGGGUAGCAAACAGG